CUGCCCUCUACUAAUACAAGGGCAGGGCCUACCUUGUGAGGGUGGGUUUUCUCACAAUAUGGAAAUUUGGGAUGUAAAUAACCUAAAGCUCUAACCCUUUUUCACAUUCCUCGAAAGUCAAAACUAUAUACAUUUUGAGAUCGGCACUUUGGAACACAAGGAGAAAACCAGGAAAUUACUACUCCAGUUCAGGUUUGAGAUCAGCUUGAGAGAGGAUUUGUAGUCUAAGGGUCGCUUCAACUGAUGAUCUCCAGUAAGUGAAUGGAAAUCAUUAGUGAAACGUAAUCUAAUUUCAACAAGAGAUAUGGAAGAUGCUGUAAACAAAGUUGUUAGAUCUGGGGUGUUGUUUGAGUUGUUACUAAAGACUUAGGUAAAACAAAAGAACAAGAAGAGAAAAGUAAAAUAUAAAACUAGAAUUGUGUAUUGAUAUGGAUUAUCGGUAUGAGCGAAUCGUGGUUUUCAAACACUCUGAUCAAUCUCCCUUCAACUGCUUGCUUGCGUUCCUAGCUGGAAGAGAGGGCUCUCGUCAGCAAAACGGGUACCUGAAUUUGAUCAUCAUUUGCCACCGUUGAUGGAAGGCUCUGCAUCUCUUUGGAGAGCUAGUCCAGGUAUCUGCAUCAGAAAACAGAAUGAGUGGAAACCGGUGAAGCUGAUGGUAGAAUUUGACAGCAUCAGAGAACAGAAGGAAGAAUGCACGAGAAGCUGGAGCUGAAAAUUGACCACAUCCAGGAACAGAUGGAUCAAGAAGGAACUAGAAGACUAAAUGGAAAAGACAUCACUAUACACCCGGCGAUACAAAUGAAAAGUGUGUUGCAGAUCAACUGUCAAGGGGUAAAAGGAUCUUGGGGAAUUGUGGACUAUGGAAGAGCAUCACGUAAAUACAUAACAUUGUUAUGUUCACCUAGUAAAUUUUUUUCGAUGAUAAGCGCCAACACAUCUGAAGAGAAUAUCUACAGGUUACAGAUCCUCGUCGUGUUGGACGUAAAAGGGGAUAAGUCGUUGAGGCUAAAUGCUAAUGCUAAAGCAGAAGCGUCAAACGGAUAAGUGGGAGAACACCCGGAAGGAAAUAGCAAAUUGAAACAAACUGGUCCUAAGUUGACCGUUGACCAAGAAUGCUUGAAGCUGUUCACAGAUUUAUUUAUCUAUUUUCUUCUAUUUUUUUUAUUUAUAUGAUACUGAUUUAAUGUGAGACUGGGUUGUACUUUUCAUUCUCUAGUGAAGUUAAACUAUCC